UCACCCACCCUGCCUUCCUGACUCCGCAAGUUUUCACCUCCACCGGCACCUCCGCAUCUGUCUCUCAGCUCCCUCCCCUCCUUCUCUCAUCCCUUCUGACUUCUCUGUGCCUCGAGUUGAUGGUCAGCUUCUCUAGGCCAGUGUUCUGGCACCGCUGUACUGGCCCAGGGAACACCCAGGUCUCUGCACAGAGCAGUUGUGCUGCUUCCUCCCUGGUUGAGAGCUGGCGGUGGUGGCUCACAGAGCGCUGCUCCAGAGGCCGGUGCAGGUGACCCGGGCCAGAGCCAUCGACAGUGUACUGUGCUGCAGACUCGGGGGGGAAGCAGAAAUAGAACAGUCCAGGCAUCAGGCAACACCUCUCUCACAGGAUCAUCUGAGGUAGCUUGUAUGGGUCCCAUUUUACAGCACCUUAGAAUCCAAGAAGGUUCAAGAUGGAAGGCAUCUUAGGGAAUGCUAGCUCAACCUCUCAUCUGAUGAGUAAAGAAAUUGAAGAUCCUGAGAGGGAAAAGGGGUCCCAGGUAACACAGGCCAUUGUUAACUCAAUUAAAUGAUGAAAUUCA